GUUAUUCUAAGGGACGUGACUUUUCCAACACACGUUCUAAGCGGUUGAGAAAAUCACUAGAAAGUGGGCCAGCUGACCAAUCAGAGUAAAGUGGGCUUUUUGGGGAGCUAAAACAGAGCGUUUCAAACAGAGUGAAUAAAGGGUGACAAGUUUUCACAGCAGACAAGAGGCACUGCAACAUCCACAGAAAUUUCUCGCACCUCUCCUGAAGCAUAAUCCACUUCUGUGCUGUUCAUCUGUAUGCUCAUUUUCCUGCAACAAGGCUGAAGGUCUGGACCAGAUCUACCUGGACACCGCGGGGCCAAAACUUAUUGAUCAAGACCAAUUCAAUUAUUGGUGCCUUGCCUUGGCCUAAGUGAGAUGGCUUCUGAGAAACAAUCCCCCCUGUGAAGUUAAGGGUGUACUGGGUGCUGAUGUCAUCCUCCACUGUCUUCGUGGUGACAGCCACCUGA